AAGAGUUAUGUCCCUUAGACUUAACACGGCAGCCGACAUCUCUGACAACUUUACAGUGUGAAAACAUGAUAAGCAGAACAUGUGUACUAACGCUUCAAAGAAUUGAUCUUAAUUUACAGUAAAAAUUAUGACGUUAUCUUAUUGACCGUCAACAUCCGAGUGCAUAGGAUUUCUGAUCGGAAAGAGAGUCGUUCUUGACCGAAUCUCGUACCAGGAAGUUGACAUAGUGACACACCUAAUCGCUUGGUCGUUGUGAUUGGCUCUCUCUCCGGAGAAUUGUUUUCCUCAUAGGGCUAAAUUACACGUUUCAGCGAAUCCAGUUGUGUUAAUCUCUCACCCGAAUUCCUAUCGCCAAUACCUGACGCUGACCGGGAACCAUCAGCUGAACUACGGGUACACGCGGCCUCGGCGGGGUGGCCCCAACCGUACAGUAUUCAUGACCAAUAGAAUGGUAUACCCCAAGGAUGAAAUCAUGUAUGCAAGAAGUGACUGUGAAGCUAUGGACGAGGCUGGCAUUCUGAACGGGAUCAAAAUUGAGAUCCUGAGAGAAAAGCGUGUGCAGUUGGUAGACUCCCUCAACCCAGAACGCCAUUUUGAUUUCCUGCGUUCACGAUGCGUCCUGUCGGGGGAAGAUUGUGAGGAAAUUAACCACAAUGUGACGCGACGGCAGAAGGCCAGCGCCAUGCUGGAUAAGCUGCUUGACCACGGGGGCAACGCGUACGACCGUCUGUGCGAGAGUCUUUUAAGGGAGAGAACUCAGAUGUUCCUGCUCAAAUCCCUUAACAUGGAGUACGAGAACAAGAUGAACAACUGUAAAGCACUGUUCCAAGCCAGUGUGAACAGAUCCACCAGCCUGAAGCUGGCCGUGGACACGGAUACCCUGCCACGCCCUCCCCCACCCAUCCUCGCCAGCACGAAGCAGUGGAGUAUAUCAGAUGAUUCAACUGCAUGAACUCCAGGCAUUGGACUGGGACGACACCUUUACACAGACUGUUAAACGGUAGUCUGUCAAGACUAUUUGCUGGCAUCUGCGGUUCCUUUGCAUUUGGUUAUUGAGGAUAUUUAUCUCAGAAAGCCAAUGACUGCCUCGCGAAGUGAUUUUGGCAACCCUGGACUCCAUAAAUAAUCGAGUCUUGACAAUCCAGUGAUCAACAACAUGAGCAUCGAUCUACGCAAUUGGGAUACGAUGUGUCAACCAAGUAAGCGCGCCUGACCACCCGAUCUCGUUAGUCGCCUCUUAGAACAAGCAUGGGUUGCUGAAGACCGAUUCUAGCCCGGAUGUUCCCGGAGUAGUUGUAUGGUUACAGGGGGAGUGAUGUCAAACAUGCAUGAGAAACAAAAAGUUUUACUUUCACAUCCAGCCGAUUUUCUCAUGUUGCACUUAGAAAGUCAUGACUUAUACUGUCUCAGACAUAUCGGUAGUCAAAUCUGGCGCCAAUAAUGGCUCUUGACCAAUGAGCGAUCUUCAUUUGAUCGUGUGGCGUGAAGUCGGACAAUUUGCGUUGAUCUGAAUUUGAAACGCUGGGGGCAUCUUACCCAUGUCGUGAUCAAGGAUUAUGGUCUUAGGAUUUAUCGUUUUAGCUGAUGAAUAAUCAUGGUGCAUGGUUGGACUAUCAUUUUUCUAAUCUACACCUGCUUAACAAAUAAGAGUGUGUGAUAAAAUUUUGUGCUGCAAUAUUUGCGUAUUAAGUAUUUGCAUCAUACAUGAAAAAAAUAUACUUAGUCUUAAUUCCAAACGGAGUUUUAAAUUUUU
rnacentral:misc_RNA from 1 species